UCUCUCCCUUCUUUCCCAUGCUUGUAGGCACGACUGCCGGCGAAAGGAGUCGUCGGAUUUCAUCGGAAAAGGAAGCACUAUUCGGCCUCUCCCUUUUCCUUGAUUUUUUGGCACCGGCGGUCACCGCCGAUCGCCGACUUUGGCCUCUCUGAGCUCGGGAGGGUCGCCCCUUGUCGCCAGCCACCGUCGGAUGAGGUACGGC
rnacentral:lncRNA from 1 species